GAGAAGCAAAGUCAAGUCAUGACAUUACAAGAACAAGUUGAAUUGCUUGAUAUGUACCAUGGAUUGAGGUCUGCAGCUGCAGUUGCCCACCAUUUCAGACAGACGAUUCAUCUUAAAAAGACAAUUGAAACUUACAGUAUCAGUAAGCACAGUACGGUACUGUAAAUGUAUUUUCAUUACGAUUUUCUUAAUAUUUUCUUUUCUCUGGCUUACUUUAUUGUAAGAAUACAGUAUAUAAUACAUAUAACAUACAAAAUAACUAUAUUAUCAGUAAGGCUUCUGGUCAACAGUAGCCUAUUAGUAAAGUUUUUGGGGAGUCAAAAUGUAUAUGUGGGUUAGUCAGAAUGCUUAACUGACAUUGUUCAAAAGUCACAUUGUAUUUGCUUUUCUCUCUGAAUACACAUACACACACACAUAUAUUUACAUUUACAUAUAUAUAAACAUAUAUAUAACACAUAUAUAUGAACCAUUUGGGAAUUUGUUGCAGACAUCAAGACACUUCUCCUGUAAAUACUUUUGUCUGUAUGUCCUAAGAACAGUCAUUCUCCUUCAUAACUACAUAAAAUUAUUGCACCCAGGAAACUGAUAUAUUAUCUAAUAUUGAGUUCAUAUUCAAAUUUAUCCAACUUUUGCAAUAAUGUCUCUUAUAAUUGUGUUUUCCUCCUAAACCAAGACUCAAACCAAGAUCCAGUCCAGAAUCACACCAUGCAUGUAAGUUGUAGUUUCUUGACCCUUCUUUGAUCUGCAGACUGCUGCCCUAUCACUUUGUUCUUUCACAAUAUUGCCAACUUUUGGCUGGGUGCGGUGGCUCACGCCUGUAAUCCCAGCACUUUGGGAGGCUGAGGCGGGAUCACUUGAGGUCAGGAGUUUGAGACCACCCUGGCCAACAUAGUGAAACCCUGGCUCUACUAAAAAUCCAAAAAUUAGCUGGGUAUGGUGUCACGUGCCUGUAAUCCCAGAUACUUCGGAGGCUGAGGCAGGAGAAUUGCUUGAACCGGGGAGGCGGAGGUUGCAGUGAGCCGAGAUCGCACCACUGCACUUCAGCCUGGGAGACAGAGUGAGACUCUAUCUCAAAAAAAAAAAAAAAAAAGAUAUUGCCAUCUUUUAAGAACUCAAGUCAAUUGCUUUGCAGAAUGUUCCUCAAUUUUGAUUUGUCUGAUUGUUUCUUCAUUAAUCAGGUUGAGCCUAUUAGAAAUACUACCCAGAUGAUGUGUGUUCUUCCUGUUCCUCACACCAGGAGGCACACAGUCUCAGUUUGUCCUAUUACUGGAAAUGCUAAGUUUGACUUUUGGCUAAGGCAAUGUCCAGCAAAUGUCUCCAUUGCCUGAAAAAUUUCCCCUUUAUAAUUAAUAAGUAAUCCAGGAGGUGUUACUUUAAGACUGUGUGAAUAACCUAUUCCCAGUCUUUCACCUAAUAGUUUCAGCUUCCACUGGUGAUUCUUGGCUGAAUCAAUUAUUACCACGAUUGCUGCAAAAUGGUGGAUUUCCAAUUUUAUAAUUCCUAUAUUUAUUGGUUGUCAUUCUACUGUUUUGAAAAAGCAUCUUUACUUCUCUCUCCUUUUAUAUUAAUAUUAGUGUAGUAGUUGUGGUAAUAUGAACCCAUGGAUUCUUUUUAAUUGAAUGUUUUAAAUACUUGUCAAAUUAUACAAAAUUCAACCAACGGCAGCCCCUUCAAACUUAUUCCUGUGGCCUUUUGACAUUCCUUGGGUGCUUCUGUUUUCUGUUACAGGCCUGAGGUGUCAGCAGGAAAGACGUACUAGUGGCCCCUGAAGCCCUGUUACCUCGGGCCUCUAGGACUUUCGAUAGGCCGCCUCCCUUCUCUUAAGAGCCCACAGGUUGGACCUCCAGGUUCUUCCCUGGGUGCUCCCGGAAGGACGCUGCUUCGGGCUCCUCCCGGGGGAACUCCAUUCUAGGCGCCCGGCUCCCGGCUCCCCCGCCCGCCCAACCCCGGAGCGCUCCAUUCUCCUUGCCAGGCUGCAAACUCCGCCUCCGGUCGCUCUGGCCGACGGCCUCCACGGCGGCAGGGGGCGACCUCUCGGCAAGACUUUCCGCCGGGGUCCCAGCCCGGCAGGAGCUUCCGGAGAGAUGGCGGGCGACGUCCGUACCUCUCCGUCUUUCCCUCCUGGGCUGGUGCCGUGGCUACGCCCCGGCCGCUCCACACACCUACCCGGGGGGAACGUGUGCCUGGGCCGCUGGAGUCGCGAAUGGCCGGUUAUUCACACGUUCAAGUACCCAAGGCAGGCGGCCCUGCAGGCGUCGUCGCGGGUUCUUCCGGCCAUCUUGUUGAGGAGGGACCGGAAGGAGGAGCGGCUGAGGAGCCCAAGGAGCGGGGCGGCGGCCACUAGGAGCUCAGGAGGCAAGGGCGUGGCCGAGUGGGACCCACUUGCCUGCCUGGACCCAGAACUCUGGGAUCAGUUUGACAACUUAGAAAAUCGAUAGUCUUGAGAAAUUCAUCAUAUCUGCCAAGGAAAGGACUGAGAUUGAACUCAGCUAUACAAAACAACUCAGGAAUCUUUUAAAGACAUGCCAACCUAAAAGGAACUGGAAGGAGAAAGAAUACAUUACGUAAAACUCUCCUUCCCUCCCUGUGAACAAAAUGAGUGAUCACGCUAGGCAGCAUUAAGUUAUCUUCUUUGAGGUCUUGAACUUUCAGAUCACCGUGGAGUUACAAGGGCAUGUUCAAAACCAAAAGCAGGAGAGGAAAUCUCACUUUCAUGAUGCCCAGAAGGCACAACCACCGACAGAGACUUGAUGGAAGCAACUUGAGGCAAGUAAAAGACAAUUGAGAUUAUAAAAAGGCUGCUGAGCACAUCAGUAUUUUGAGAAAAUGCCAUAUGUUUUAAAAACACGUUUUUAAAAGUCGAUGUUGAAAAAGGCACACCACCAAGCUGCGAAAACAUCACCAAUGGCAGAAGACGGCAGACUACUCAAUGAGAAUUGAAUUACUCAUCAAUUCAAGAAAUUUGACACUGAGCUGCAGGAAUUUUACCAUCCUAAUAGUUCCAACAACUUCCAGAAAAUACAAGAGAUAGAGGGAAAGAGGAUAGUGAGAAUGAGAGAAUCAGUGAAGACAUAUGUAGCGAUUGGGCAACAGGUGAUAGCAAUCAAUAGGAGAUGCUUGGAGAGAAUAGUAAAGGCAACUGAAUCAAUGAUCAGAAAAAUGUCACAGCUGGUAAUAAAAACUUUCAAGUCAGAGUGUGAGCCUCCUGGAGACAUCUGAGGACUACACUCUGCCAAUAAGGUGCUUGAUAAUAGUCUUUCAGAUUUCUGAGGAGAAGGCAAACCAGGGUCAGCUGUGGUGGCAAAUUGAAAGGAAACUUCUGGCUGUUCAUAAAAAUGUAUAAAUAAAGCUCCAAAGCAGCAAAAGGAACUGAUUGGUUUAAUGAGCUCGUUAUCAAACCCAAUAUUGGCUGCUUCAAAAGUCUAUAAUGUAGGCUGGGCACAGUGGUUCACACCAGUAAUCAUCCCAGCAUAUUGGGAGUCUGAGGCAGGUGGAUCAGUCGAGGUCAGGAGUUUCAGACCAGCCUGGACAACAUGGUGAAACCCCAUCUCUACCAAAAAUACAAAAAUUAACCAGAUGUGGUGGUGCACACCUGUAAUCCCAGCUACUUGGGAGGCUGAGAUGGGAGAAUCGCUUGGACCUGGGAGGUGGAGGUUGCAGUAAGCUGAGAUCAUGCCACUGCACUCCAACCUGGGUGACAGAGUGAGACUCCAUCUCAAAGAAAAAAGUCUGUAGUGUAAGGGGUGUAACCCCAGAGGAUGUUGGCAGUCUUCCACCUCAACUGAAAAGGAAAAAACUACAAGAGAAAGUCAAUGAAAUAAAUACAGAUGGAGAUGGAUCAAAGAAAUGGCAUAACAAAAAUGAAAAACAUGUACAAAAGAAAUCUUCAAAUGGGAGAUACAGCCAGUUUGAGUCACAAAUUAACAAAAUUCAGACAAAAAUAUAGAAAAACAAGAGGCCCAGAAAUUUGAAGUCUAGCUGCCUGAGGUUGAAGGCAGGCUCACACAAUCAAGUGAACAGGCCUGACAACAGAGUGGAAUGUACAAAAACCCAAUCCAAAAUCCCAGAGAGGUUUGCACAAGACUGGAAGGACUCAGAAGGCAGUUACAUAGAGGAGCCAGUCAAGAAAGUGGGGUGAGGAGUUCUGGUUGUGGAUUUUGAUAGUGAAA
rnacentral:lncRNA from 1 species